UGUGUAUAGUACAAACAUUAUCAUUAACAUAAAACUUUUGUCAAGGUAUUUGCUUCCCAUGAAUGAGCACUGGUCAGGUAUUUUAGUUUUGGACUCUUUGUUCCCUUUUGGACAUUUUAUUAUGAAUGUUAUUACAGCAUUUUAAAGGAGGGAGUGGAAUAGAAAUUUGAAUAACUGGGGAUGUAGCUUGGAAAGCAUAAAGUGAUAUUAAGUGAAUUUUUCUCAUAUUUCCUUAGGAGAGGUAAACUUUAUGGACAGAAAACUCCAUGACACUUCAUCUUUACUGUGGAGAGGACAGCUUGAAAUAGGGAAGGCACAGUGUGAUGUAACCUUCAGACCUAUCUUGUGUAAUGGCAUUUGCCAGAUCCCAGAGACUGAAAAUGAAAUUCUAGUUCGAUGUAACUCUUCUGUCUUCCUACUUAUAACAAGAUUUGAGAUCCCAGGGGGUUGUUUCAGGAUGUCAGGUUAAGCCUCUUUAAUCUCCUUAUGAUCAAACUUCAUCCUCCAGAGCAGGUAGUUAAGACUGAGUUUAUCACAGAUAGAACUUCUUUUUUUUUUUUUCCUAAAGGUCAAAACUUCAUCUCCCAGUUUAAGUAGUAAAGAAUAAAGUCUGAGCACCUUACACUUGUCCUUACUGGACUUCCUGGGGCUCUCAGUUGAACUGCCUUGCAGCAGUUGCAGCCCACCUGUUUGCCUUUAAUGACAGGAACAUUUUAAUUUUUGCUGCUGAAAGGAUGCCUUAGGGGACUUUUGGUGAGCUCAUGAUGUUCCAGCUGUGAUGGAGGAGCUGUCUGGCUGACAGGUCACUUCCCUUUGGUGAUUGCCACCAGCCAGCUCUGAUUUUAUUUUAUCUAUCCCUGUACAGUCCUGCCUGGUGAAGGAUUUCUCUAUAGAGUAAUUUUUAUCUGUGACAUUGGAAUUUUCUUGGCUAGAAAUCAUUUUAUUUGGCAAAGAAAUGGAUUUUGUGGGUGGUGCAUUACUUCUGCUGAUGAAACAGCAACUUCUCUGCCCAGGAUCUCUUGGCACAGGGCUUGACAAUGGGUGUUGUUAACAGCCAGAGGUGAUCACCUGGCAGGCAGCAGCAACCUUAACUGAUAAAUACCGCCUCUUUUUUAUUAUUUAUUUAUUUGUUUGUUUGUUUAUUUGUUUGGUAAUCCCAGAGUACCUGUGAAUGACUUUUUUUCUGAUAUACUUGUCAUUCAGCAUAUUUGUUGAUUUAUAGCACACACUGCCAAGAAGAAUCAAUUCUAACCCACAUUGUUUAGCUCUGGUGUGUACUUUGUACUACAAGACACAUUGUCCAUUCUCUAAAGCAGUAAACACAGAGCUGGUAAAUAUGAAUUUUUGAUAAAUAUGCAUUUUUUUGAUAAAUUUCCACGUCACACCAGCAUUUCUCUGCAUACUACUAUGCAAGCUAAACUCUUCAACGUUUAUUCAGAUUAAGCAAAAAGCAAGAUUCGGACUUUAACAAAUGUUUAAAUUAUAUUGAAAUAAGUGCUGUGAAGUUUCCCCCUCCCCCUGAAUACUCCUUGAAAAGUUUCUGAGGUAUUCAAUGACAGAACAUACAACUUCUACAUGGUUCCAUUUUACCUUUUAUUUUUGAAAUGCUACGCAUUAGGAACAAUUUGGAAAGAUAUUAUUUGCUCAGUUUGGGAAAGGAGGAUAUUAAGAGGCUCAGAAACAAAUGUAAGAUCUGAAUUGAAGGUUUUUGUUAAACUACACAGAAGUGUAAUCAUAUGCUUAUGGUGAAAAUCACAUCAUCAAUCACAUUUCACACAGGGAAUUUUUGCACUGUAUAAUCAGAGGAGUUUUGCAAUGAAUGAUAAAGAAGCCAGGACUUCACAAGAUAAAAUAAAAAAUUGCCAGAUUUGUCAUUUACUUCGCAUUCCUAUACCUCACUAUAUUUUUUUUCAGAAUCUAGAUGAGGAUAAGCUACAAUUUAUGUUCUGAAGGUAUUUUUUGAGAUGCACAUAAACAAAGUUCCAUGUAUAUAACAUUAUAAGGCUGUCAUGACAGCUUUCAUAUUCUAGAUUUAGCAUGUUAAAAUCAAUAUUAAAAACAUAAUAAAUAGUUUUCUCCAACCAAGCACACAUCAAUUCUGAAUACAAGGCAAAGAAGAAAACGUAUUGGAAAUACAUAAAGAAUUAGAAACAAUAAGUAAAUCAAAGAAUUUUUAAUUAGUUUUUUUACACAAAAUAGAGAAUAUGGGCAUUUUAUAAGCUGAACAGGGUUCCAAAAAGUACUAUGUGCCCCUAUGCCCAUACAUCCUCUUUAUUAUCAUGCAAAUAAGUGAGUUCCUCAAAUCAGGCCCCCUGUGUGCACUAAUUUCAUUACUCUGCUGGAGACAUCAUUCAUGUGUGCUUUAUAGUUCUCUUGCACAAAAUCUAUAGGGUUUUUGUUUGUUUGUUUGCUUUGUUGGUUUGGGUAUUUUAAUUAGACUGAGUAUAAGCUCCCUCACAUUUUCAAAGAGAAGGUGCCAGUGAUAUUCUGCUUUGCAUAAUGUCAGCAGUGUAUUCCUAACACAUUUCAAUUCAAGUAUGUUACAAUUAUGAAUAUAAUACCUAGUGCUUCAUAAUUUUAUUUACUGCAGGGUGGAAAAGUGCAGGGGAAGGUUUGAGGUUUGACACCCAUUUUUGUCCCUCAGCUGACAAGGUCAGUUAAGUACAGCUCCAAAGAGAUUUAGAGAGAGGCUGUGUUAACUAUUCCUUGCCCAGCAGCAAUGUUGCCUCAGCAGGUCAGGACAGAGUCCCAUCCUGUGUUAGCAGCCUUGUCCAGCUCUGGACUGCACUCUUGAACCUCCUGGUCCUGAAUUUCUAGAGAGCUCUGAGAAGCUCAUUUGGAUUCCUGCUGGAUUCUGUGCACACCAAACUGAGAGACACACUCCAGCUGUGCCCCAAAGUGCUCCAGCUGUGCCCCCACCUGCUGUAUCCAGGGCAGCACCAUGCAGACACCUCCAGGUGGAUCUUGGGUUGGCUUUUCCUCUCCAAAUGAUACAGACAGAACUGUGAAGCCAUUGCCAUGCAGGGAAGGAAAACCAGCUGGAGCUGUGUGCUAGGAAAUCAGUAGGAAUUCUUGGAAGAUCUGGCUUAUGAGGCAAAGAUAAAGAACUACCGUGUUGGGGAAUCUAAAAAGUAGAAGACCCCAGAAAGAGCAAAAAGGCCCCAGAAAGUAGACAAAAAGCUGAGAAAGCUUGGGAAUCUCAAUACUUUCCCUAAGAAAUUAGGAACCAAGUGCAUACAUUUAUAUCUAUCAUAAGGAACAAGAACUGAUUGCUGGUUCAGGAUGUAAAAGGUCUUAGACAUGUGCUUUGCAAAGAUAGAAGAAGUUUCAGUCUUGAAUAAUAAAUUAUUGUGUAUUAUGUUUUUAGGUUUACAGAAGUCUUAUGGUUAAUUCUAAACCCACGUGGGUCUUUCUCUGAUUUGCUAGAAUAAUAUGACUCUGAACUUCUUCUUGUAAAGUAUUGGUUGAGAAAAUAUCUAGAAAAAGGCUCUGCAUCAGCUGUGGCCUUGUCUCUGAUCUAGGUUUGCAUGGAUUUUGUUGUUUUCCUGUGUCUCUUGCUUAUUGCUUGUAUGUUACAGACACAUAAAUAAUCCUAAGUCUGCAACUAGACCGAGCCCCAUCCUGUUUGUGACACCCUGCCUGAUCCAGCACCAUAUUACAGUGUUGGCACAAGAGAAGAAUACCCUAAUCAGAGGGUGGUUUGAGUUGGAAGGACCUCAAAGAUGAUCCCAUUCCAACACCUCUGCCAUGGACAGGACACCUUCCACUAAAACAGGAUUCAGACAGAGGGCUGCAAAGACUUGAGAGAGAAGAAAUGGAUAUAAAUCUGGAGGAUUUGAAUAGACAGGAGAUUUGUCAAGGGCUAAUUUCAGUGUAGUAACCAGUGGGAGUAAUGCUCCUGAGAGACAGCAGAGAACAGUGGUUUUCCAGGUGAAUUACAAUUCAUUUGAGGAUGAAAGAAAGUGUUUUGUGCUUUAUGGAAAAUACAAGGUGCUUUCAGCAGAUGUGCAGCAAGUGAACAACGUUAUAAUAAUUGUUCCUGCUGUUAGUACAGAAAUUAGUGAUGCUUUGCUGUGUCUGAACUGACCUCAAAAUAUUUAGCCUGGGAUUGUGGAGCAGCCCUUGAACUGAGCAGUCUGGAAGAGAGAAGAUAUUCAACCCCGAUUUGAGGGAGGAGAGCCAAGGGCAGGAGGUUGGGAACAACCCAGCUCCAAAAGCUGCCUCAGGUCUUCUGGCUUGCCUAAGUUCUGGGCACAAGUUUGCCAUGAAAUAUUCUCUUUCCUUGGUUUCAGAGAGGAGGCAGACAGCUGGUGGAGCCACAGAUUAGCCAGGAGGAUUCUGUUCCUUCACCUCACUGCCCUCCUGAUAGUUCCCCAGAAGUUCUGACAGGACUACACACUUUGGAAAUUGUUGAACAGGGUGCUUUGGUUGUACAGAAGAACUGUAUAUUACAUUUUCUGGGCUGCCUUAAAACCAUGACAUCUGGACCAGCUCAGUAUCUUGAGUUAUUCUUUAUGAGAAAAGAUGUCAAAGCAUUACCAUAUUACUGGAAAUGGAGACAAAACCCUUCCUUAAAUAUUACAGCUAGAGGUGAUAUUUCCAUCUGUUCUGCUAUGGAAAAGAGACUUGUUCAGGAGUGGAGGAUUUGCUGCUUUUCAGGAAAAGAUCAGACAAGAUUCUCUAGCUUGAUGGCAAUGUAACAAGGAGCAUCAUCCCAUGAAUUGGAAAAGAUCCCUGGGCAUGUGACAGAAAUAAAUGAUCCAGGGGGAUGGCCAAUGAGAAUGAUGGCUCAUUCCAUGUAAUUUUUGAAACCCACUGACAUCAUGCAGUGUCUGCACUUUGUGAUAUUCCAGGCCAGAAAAUUCAACAUCUUUGGCUACUGACACAAGAAUGAUUCAACAAUGUGCGAGCAGCAGUGUUCAGCUCAGUGAAGGGGAAGCUGCAUGACAAGAAAAUCAUUACAAUCUCUUAUAAUCAGGCAGAUGGAUACAGUUCUGUUGGUAUCUGGUGCAAGGCUAUUCAGGAGCAGGCUGCACACCCCUUCUUCAGGGCAUUUAUUAAGCAGUUUGUCAGAUGAGAUGGUGCUGAAGCAGAGUCCCAGACUGGUCCAUUUUGGGUUUCCAGCCGCAAGUCACAGAUGGAAUGAGGAGGAGAAAACGUUCUGCAGUGAAGCAGCCAGAGACCCUAAUGAAAUGUGGCACAUUAAUUUCUGAGCUAUGAAAUUAUGUAAUCCCAGUGGAUUUACAUUUGGAAUUCAAGGACCACAACGAGGAUGAGAUAGUCUCUUCUGUGAGAAGAGUGUUUACUUCACAAAUUGCUUCUGGCUGGGUUUUGCCUCAUAUAAUCAUCUCUGGGAGCAACCUCUUACUUGAAAAAUGAAGUAAUGAAUUAUUGCUCCUGAAUUAUUGCUUGCAUUUGUCCAAAGAUGUCCAAGAAAUGUCAACCUUGUUGCUUUAUGAAAAAGGCUAAAGAGAUGAUACAGGUAGACAGAUAGAUGGAGACAGGCAGACAGACAGCAAGAUAGGCAGAGCCCAAGUCUGAUCUCACAAAAAGCCCUGGAAGAAAAUACCAGUAAUUCAUGCCUUUGGUUCUUAAACCAAUCAGUGGCACUGGGGAAUGAUCCAAUAUAAUUUUCUCAAGAAUUAAAUUCAGAUGCCCCUGAUUAAAAACUCCCAGCAGCUCAGGCUGGGUGUGUCCACAGCCCUGUUUGGGGUACUCUCAUCAAGCUGUCAGCUGCCUCACACCAGGUUUAUUCCAGUGCCUGACACACAUUCAUAAAAGAAGUGAUUAAUUCCCAUUUGAGACUGUGGUGCAGUGAACAUGAAUGAUAUUAACAGGAAUCAGAUCAGUUUUCAGUCUCCCAAGGCCCCAGCAGCAAGCCAGCAGCCUUGCAGCAUUUAAAUGGUCAGGGCUCAGUUUUCAGCACUCAGAAGUGCAGGAAGUUCUUUCAUCUGUGCGACGUGAGCCACACAGUUGUCCUGGACCUUCUUACAUGCAGAUAAUCCACUUUCUCCUGUCAUGUGGCCAAGCCCAUGGAGAGGAACAGAAUCAAAUUCCUCUUGCCUGAGCUGGUUCUCACUGCACUGAGUGGCAGGUUUUCCUCAGGCAGUGUAAUUUCCACAUUUACUUGUCUUUUAUUACUGGUUUGCAGUGGAUUACUCUGAUGCAAGCACAAGUAUUCCACAAAAGCAGCAGCUUCGUGAAGGAUGUGACAGGCAAUGUUUCAGGCUGACAUAAAAACUACUCAGAUUACAUAUUCAAAGUAGUUCUGAUUCAGUGUUUUUCCAAUGCCAACGUGAAGCAGGAUGUAAAAUUGUGUGCAAGAGUUUGGGCAGCGAUAAGCAGUAUUCAGAUGUGUCAUUCACCAGCAAAUAAUUUGCAGUUUGACUUGGUUACAAGACUUCAAAUUCUGAAACCUUCUCAAAACAGGCAGGUUUUUUCUGGAUAUUAGACUAGAACCAUAACCUAGGUAUUAAAGGCAGUCUACAGUGCAUGGCAAUGAAGCAGAAUUAUUUUGUUGAGAUAAUGUGGUUCAUUCAUCAGAAAUUAUAGCAUAAGGGAAAGGGAAGACAGAUUUGGAUAUCCUUGGACAGUACUCUGUGGAGAAAGAAAUACAGAAUUCCAUGCAAAUUUCCAGAAAGGAUGAUUAAUUAGAUUCCUUAAUAUAUCAAUUUUAAGUUUGCUGUGCAAUUUUACUCUUCCUUCUCUCCAGAAACAUGAGGUCUUUCAUGCUCAGUUAAGACACUGGGAGAAAUCAUUGUUUAGGAAGAAUUACUCACCCUUUGUCCUGACUUUUUUUCCUCAUUUCAAAUGUCUAGUCAACUUCAAUUUUUUUUUUCUUAUAUUAGAAAGCAAAGAUUUUUUUUUUAAAUCAAUCCCUUAAUAAGAGCCUACUUUACACAGAUUAACGAGGAGUUGACAUUCUUUCUAUAAUACAUCUCAGGUAGCAUGGACAGUUUUUCAAUAAAGAGGAAAGCUUGGGAAAUGAUAGUAUGUAUCAAGUGAUUCUCAGUCAAAAAUGAAAAUAAGAAUUAAUAAAUACUGAAAGACAUACAUUACAAAUCUGGCAUCUCUAUACAUUCUUUUUUUGCCAAGUCUUGAUUUAUAAUUCAGGACAUGACAUAUGAUAAAGGCAAAUAUAUAUAUAUAUAUAUCUGUCUCUUGAUCUAUUGAUAGAUAUGACUUAUGAGAUCAGAGGUGGUUUCUUGGCUGUUAUCUAAAAAAGUCCAGUUGAAGCUGGACCAAAAAUACAUUAAUCAUUCAUGUUCAUGCACAGAUAGACAUGCUGUGAAACACUUUCAUCUUUUCCCUAAAAAUAAUGUUCAGGUAUCUCCCAGCCUGUGUGACGUGAGCAAAAUCUCCUAAGAUUCUAGCAAGGAUUAGUCUUUGUCUAUUUUUGAUUUAAACUCAUGAUGUACAGCAUUAUACUAUUACCCACUGACAACACUGUAUGAAAUAUUUGCUCAUUAAUUAUGGAUGGAAACAUGAGACCUGGGAAGUCACUGGUAAAAUGCCAAAAGCCCAACAUUAAAGGGCAGGAACAAGUGCUAAUGCUUGGGAUGGAGACUAGAUCUUG